ACUCUUUUGUAGUUCAUAGGCAGGAUGAUUGGGUUUUCACACUCGAGUGUGAGGUGUGCCUCUCUCAAACCUUGUCAUGAUGGUGGCACAUUACCUGUCUGACA